CCAGGUGUGGCGCAGAGGUAGCGCGGCUGCUUUGGGAGCAGAAGGUCAUAGGUUCGAUCCCUAUCACUUGGA
rfam:Pseudanabaena biceps PCC 7429 scaffold_00443, whole genome shotgun sequence.